AGGAGUUUAGGAUAACAGAGACCGAGAGCCUUCAAAGCCCUAAGCAAGUACAAAACACUUAACUCCUG